CACAGUGUGUGUGCACACAUGUUGACACACAUCCUUCAUUUAUCAAUGGGGAUUUAAUAUGUCACCUGGAUACUUCACUGCUGAGAGACUGAAGUCCUUUUAUCAAUGAGAAAAUCCAGAAUUCCUUCCAAGUUAGUAGCUAGAGAAGAAACAACAGUGAAAGAGUGUAUACACAAGAUUUAGAAAAUAGAAUGUGUAUUAUCCAUCAUACAUGCUUGGAGCAGAGGAGCCCAAACUGGACAGCAGAAUGACCACAGCACAGAUCAGGUUCACAGAACAGAUGCAGUUAAGAUUCACCCAGCUCAGACAGUAAUGCUGACAUUUAGGUGUCCCUGCACUGUGAAUACAGAA